GACCUCUCAGGAUGGCACCUGGAGAGUUUCCAGUGCUCUACCAGUCUCGGCUAUGGGAGGGAAAAUCAAGCAGAGGCCUGUCCAUCCCAUUCCUAGCCUGGCCAGUGGCUAGCGAGUAGAAGGAGAUCUGCUACAGGU